CCGGGGCGGUGUGGGAGUCGGACUUCAACGCCGUGGCGACCGAGCU
rnacentral:tRNA from 12 species